rnacentral:rRNA from 1 species
GAUGAACGCUGGCGGCGUGCCUAACACAUGCAAGUCGAACGGACUUAAUAUGAAACCUAGUGAAUAUUAAGUUAGUGGCGGACGGGUGAGUAACGCGUGGAUAACCUGCCGUAUGCAGGGGGAUACCAACUGGAAACAGUUGCUAAUACCGCAUAAGCGCACAGUGCUGCAUGGCACAGUGUGAAAAGAAAUUCGGCAUACGAUGGAUCCGCGUCCGAUUAGCCAGUUGGCGGGGUAACGGCCCACCAAAGCGACGAUCGGUAGCCGGCCUGAGAGGGCGGACGGCCACAUUGGGACUGAGACACGGCCCAA